GCAGUGGGCACCACUACUCGAGUAUGAUGCUUCCGCUCUGCAGGUUAAUCUCAAGCUCUUGGAGGGAAGUGGUAAUUUCAUGUAAUUUCGUCUUAACCUAUGUCACACUGAUCCGAUAUAUGCACAACUACUUCUCUUUGUUAUCAAGUUUUCCUCUUGAAAUCGAGUCUCGCAUUGCCUUUAUUUCGUAUCAGGCUGCCUUUUCACUGCGGCCGCCAUCUGCUUGAUGGAAUGGGCAACAGAUCACGCGGACACACACGAACACAUUUGUUUUUCUAAUCUGGAUCUUAGCACUGCAAAAAACUAUUGCUGACAGUUUGAUUAGUUCGUAUACAGACUGUUUGGCUGGUUUUGGCGAUAAUUUCGUGAAGAUUGGGAAGAUUACUCCAUUCUGAGUGUGGAAAUAUUAAAGCUCGCGUCAUUUUGUAGUUUGGUGAUAUUAACAAGCGAGAAUCCCCAGUAAUGGGUAGUAAAAGUAUGUUUAAAUGGCCGAAACAAAUCACACCUUCCCUAGUUGAGCAGUUGAUACGGGCAGAAAAGGACGUACAGAAAGCUGCUCUAAUAUUUGAUUCGGGGACAGCUGAGUACGUUAAUGGGUUUCGGCAUGAUCAUAAUACCUUUGGUGCAAUGAUCUCCAAAUUUGUUUCCGCAAACCAGUUCAGACCAGCAGAGGAGCUCCUUAAUAGAAUGAAGGAGGAAAAGUGUAGUAUUACCGAAGAUAUAUUCCUCUCCCUGUGCAGAGCCUUCGGUCGGGUUCACAGGCCCCUGGAUGCCAUUAGGGUCUUUAACAAGAUGGAGGAAUUUCAGUGCAAACCCAGUGAGAGAUCUUACAUUACAGUUUUUGCAAUUCUUGUUGAAGAAAACCAGUUAAAGAUGGCUAUAAAAUUUUAUAGGCAUAUGAGAGGCAUGGGUAUACCUCCUUGUGUUGCUUCCCUUAAUGUUUUGAUUAAAGCCCUUUGCAAGAACAGCGGGACAAUGGAAGCUGCUUUUCGGAUAUUUCGAGAGAUGCCCAAUCGUGGUUGUACUCCAGAUUCAUAUACAUAUGGUACCCUGAUUAAUGGGUUGUGUCGAGUGGGAAAGAUUGGAGAAGCAAAGGAGUUAUUAAAAGAGAUGGAGACAAAGGGUUGUUUGCCCAGUGUUGUGACCUAUACUUCUUUGAUUCAUGGUUUGUGCCAGUCUGGAAGUUUGGAUGAAGCUGUUGGAUUACUCGAAGAGAUGAAGAUCAGAGAAAUUGAGCCAAAUGUGUUUACGUACAGUGCUUUAAUGGAUGGUCUUUGCAAGGGUGGGCGUUCUUCACAAGCCAUGGAGCUCCUGGAGAUGAUGAUUAGCAAAAGGCAUAGGCCCAAUAUGAUAACUUAUAGUACUUUAAUUCAUGGACUCUGUAAAGAUGGAAAGCUUCGAGAAGCUUUGGAGAUUCUUGACAGGAUGAAACUUCACGGAUUGAAACCAGAUGCAGGGUUGUAUGGUAAGAUCAUUAGUGGCUUCUGUGACAUCUGCAAGUUCCAGGAAGCUGCAAACUUCCUUGAUGAAAUGGUCCUUGGGGGAAUCUCACCGAACCGAUUAACUUGGAGCCUUCAUGUUAAGAUUUAUAACAUGGUGGUCCAAGGCCUUUGUACUAAUGGUGAUCCAAAUCGAGCUUUUCAGUUGUACCUUAGUAUGCGGACUAGGGGUAUCUCAAUUGAUACUGCAACAUUUGAUUUUCUGAUUAAGUGUUUUUCUAAGAGAGGAGACUUACAUAAGGCUGCUCGCAUCAUCGAUGAAAUGGUGAUUGAUGGGUGUCUUCCAACUGAGGGAACGUGGAGUGCAGUUUUUGGUGGAUUUUGGGAUCGAAGGAAGGUGCGGGAAGAUGCUGAGUUUUUGCAAGACAAGCUAAUGAGUGAAAUUGUUGAGCCAGAAUUACAAUUCUGAGCUUGAGUUUUAUGAGUUAGAUCUGUAUACAAGAAGUUACAUGAAGCAGGACAAAUUUAGAGAAUCUCUUCAUUCCUUCUUUGGUGGGCUUAAGGGAAACAUUAGGAAUGUACUUCAAAGGCAUGGAAUUUGUAUUAAUCCCCAAAAGUUCUAAUACAACAGUGCUUGUGUUGCGAUUUACAAUUAGUAUUCUAUCCCUUGAGCAAUGUUCAUGGAGAUAGAAGGCCCAUAAUUGGUGAACUUUUGUUAAUUUACAGAGAGGGGGAAGCCAAUUCCAUGGCGCUCGGUAGGAAACACAACAAACAUCAUACUGCAAAUGACACCGAUUCCUACCGGCAGUCUUGUAAGAAUCUCCUGGGUCGUAUAUGAUGGCAUUGGGAAGAAGCAUCUCACCACAUUCUUAUCAAAGAGAGCUACAGCUAUGAAUACCAGUAUUGACAUGAAGGCAUGCAUGAAAUCUAUGAAGCGCAGCUGGUACCUUGCAGCAAGUUCAGGUGAAAGCUUGGCCGUUCCAUCAAUGACCCACAGGCCCUGGAAAGUGGCAAACCCAUAACAAACAUUUCCCUUUUUGUCCUUGAAGCUGUCUGUGAAGCACAGUAGGAAACAUGAGACCCCACAGAGAAUCACAAGUGCAGCAGUCAUGAACCGGCCUACUGAGUCACAAUUGCCUUCAUUUGUGAAAAUUGGUGAUAGAAGUUGGAAAGCCAGGACUGAUCCAGUCGGUAAAAGAUUGGCCAAAUGAGCUGUGCUCUGAAAUGUCUGGCUAAUGGCUUUCUGUAUCGGUGUUUUCUCCUCUUUUUCAGAUCCAUCUCGCAAGAGCGGAAGUUUUGAUUCAUCGUGAUUCUUGGAAUCAGAUUGUACCUUAAUCUCCAUAUCACAGAAUCUUUCACUUCUCUUUUCCCUUUGUUUUGAUCUCAUAUGAAUUUGUAUCAGCAUUCAUUCAGCAUGCCUCUUGUGAGGCACAGCUUUAUAAGAGUUGGAAGAAAGGGAAGCUGAGGGGGAGGCAAAGGCUUGGGAAGGUUGGUUUGGCAUGCCUUGCAAGAAAGAGAAACCAAGACAGCAAACUGAGAUGAGGAUGAAGAAAGCUCUCUCCAGAUUUCUGGGAGGUAAAGUUUUCUUUCAUGUGAAAUGCAGAGUUAGUAGUUACAAGAGUUAUAGAGGCCGUCUAAUGUCUACAAAGUUUUAGUUACCAUUAUGAAACUUGUAAGCUUCCCAAGGGUCGGUUCCAGUUAUCCAGAGAGUUUUGUUGCUUGUUUCAGGUCAUUUGUUUUGCUUUCACGCAAUGAAUAAAACCGAGAACUUUGCUUUGUAA